UACAGAGGUCCCAAGCAUUGUUCGGAUUCACUGGGCGUAAAGGGUGCGCAGGUGGUCGGGUAAGUCUGAUGUGAAAUCCCGCAGCUCAACUGCGGAAUGGCAUUGGAUACUAUUUGGCUAGAGGGUUGGAGGGGGGACUGGAAUUCUCGGUGUAGCAGUGAAAUGCGUAGAUAUCGAGAGGAACACCAGUGGCGAAGGCGAGUCCCUGGACAACUCCUGACGCUGAGGCACGAAAGCGUGGGGAGCAAACAGG
rnacentral:rRNA from 1 species